AUACGUAGGGGGCGAGCGUUGCCCGGAAUGAUUGGGCGUAAAGGGCGCGUAGGCGGCCCGGUAAGUCUGGAGUGAAAGUCCUGUUUUUAAGAUGGGAAUUGCUUUGGAUACUGUCGGGCUUGAGUGCAGGAGAGGUCAGUGGAAUUCCGAGUGUAGCGGUGAAAUGCGUAGAGAUUGGGAGGAACACCAGUGGCGAAGGCGACCUACUGGACUGUAACUGACGUUGAGGCGCGAAAGUGUGGGGAGCAAGCAGGAUUAGAUACCCUCGUAGUCCACACUGUGAGCGAUGAAUGCAAGGUGGACGUUGUCUCGAGCCCUUGUGUGCCGGACACCAAACAAUUAGCAUUCCGCCUCGGGAGUGCGGCAUCACGGUUGCAACUCACAGAUGUGGACAGGG
rnacentral:rRNA from 1 species